rnacentral:rRNA from 1 species
UACUUCGGGUGCAAGCGUUAAUCGGAAUUACUGGGCGUAAAGCGCACGCAGGCGGUCUGUCAAGUCGGAUGUGAAAUCCCCGGGCUCAACCUGGGAACUGCAUUCGAAACUGGCAGGCUUGAGUCUCGUAGAGGGGGGUAGAAUUCCAGGUGUAGCGGUGAAAUGCGUAGAGAUCUGGAGGAAUACCGGUGGCGAAGGCGGCCCCAUGGACGAAGAAGGAAGCUCAGGUGAGCACGCGUGGGGCGCCCACAGGAUUAGAUACCAGCGUAGUCC